GUGCCAGCAGCCGCGGUAAUACGUAGGGGGCAAGCGUUGUUCGGAAUUACUGGGCGUAAAGGGCGCGUAGGCGGCAGGCCAAGUCGGGAGUGAAAGCCCGGGGCUCAACCCCGGAAUGUCUUUCGAAACUGGCCAGCUGGAGUGCGGAAGAGGCAACUGGAAUUCCCAGUGUAGCGGUGAAAUGCGUAGAUAUUGGGAAGAACACCUGAGGCGAAGGCGGGUUGCUGGGCCGACACUGACGCUGAGGCGCGAAAGCCAGGGGAGCAAACGGGAUUAGAUACCCCUGUAGUCC
rnacentral:rRNA from 1 species